AAAACUCUAAACUCUAUUCUCUCCUUAUUUAAUAGAUGCGGCAAAUCUUAUACCGCCGUUUCGAAAAAAAUAAUUACAGACCGUAUCCACUCCUGUCACGGAUUCAGGGCUGAACACGAUCACGACACGAAACGGCCACGGCGUGUAACGAAGCGCCCCUGAUCCAUCCGUGAAGUCCGAAACCCUUUCUUUUUCUUCUCUUUUCUUUCUAUAAGUGACGAGAACGUCAAAUCUGAAACCCCACCCGUCCGGUCCGCACUACAGAGAAAUAACCCGCGCCGCCGGCCGAGACGAUCGAGGCCGAGGGAGCCGCCGCCAUGGAGCAGCUGCUGGAGAGCUUUCCGCAGCCCGCGGUGUACGACGCCCUAUCCCUCCUGGAGCAGGUCAAAGCAUGCUUCGCGCCCGAUCCGGACGUCACCGCGGAGUUCCUCGACCUCUUCGCGCGCUUCAGCAGGCGCGAGAUCGUCGACAUCCCCGCCGUCGUGGCCAGGGCGUACGCGCUCCUCCAGGGCCAUCCCGAUCUCAUCCAGCGUUUCGACACCUACAACCCCUUUCUCCGCCGUCCUGCUCAGCACGAAGCCGAGCCCGUCCGCGAUGAUCCGCCCAAGCGGCCUAAGAGGGAGCGCCGCCACCCGGCGGCCGCCUCCGUCGACGCCGACUGUGCCGGGGCCAUGCGGUUCCUCGAGCGGGUGAAGCUGGCGGACGCCGGGCUCUACGACAGGGUCCUCGCGCUGCUCUUCCACGUGAGGGCGGAGGUCAAGCUCGACGCGAAUCAAAUCUACGACCAGGCCCGGAAGAUUUUCGGGUCGGCGCACGGCCAUCUCCUCCGCGGUUUCACGGAGUACCUUCCGACGGGGCGUGACUUUCUGAGGCGUCGCGCGCCCAAGAAGGAGCCGCCGGAAGAGCACCGUGCUCCUGCACCCAAGCGCAAGGCCCCCGCUGCCGGAACGGCCACGAUCCGAGUCGACGCCGCGUGCAAGAAGAAACCCCGCGUCGACGAACGGAAGACGACCAACCAGCGCGCCUCCUCGGCCGUCGAUGCCCCCAAGAGCGGCGACAAAUUCUCCAAGUUUAGGGAGGCGUGGGAGUUCGAGACCACGUACACCAAGCUGGUUGUCACCAUAAGACGCACCAAGAAAGCACUAGAAGAACUCAGGCCAAAGCCAAAGAAGAAAUCACGGGAAGAAGCCGAGCCGGCGAAGGAACCGCCGGAGGAAGUCAAGCCGUCGCCGGGCCACCACGUGCGGCCGCGUACGUUCGAGGAACUCUACCCCAGCCGCGAGUGCCGGGAGGUUCUCCAGGAGAUGUACGGCGACAUGUUGGCGCCGAUGCGGGAGGCGCUCGAGGACGGCGCGCGCACAGAGCUGGCUCUGAAGACGAUCAAGCGCAGGCUGAAGAAGCUGGAGGAGGUGGCCGUGAAGAUCGCGAGGGAGCGGCGGGAUCCCGCCCGCGUUGAGCGCCGAAUGGCAGAGCUUGCCAUAGAUCAAGUGGUGCUUCUUCGGGGUCAGGCGGAAAGAGCAGCGGCACGCAAUCCUGAUGGCCCGUGCGAGACCAAGAUUGACAUGGACCAAGAUUGACGGUGAGCAGUGUGGCGUGAUGUAGCUUCGGGAAAUCGAUGCUCUUGUGUGUUGAAGAGGAUCAUUGAGUGGAUAGAGAAUAUCCACAAGGAGAUCAGGAUCAACAUCCCCACGAGACAACUGGUUGCACUAAUGGCCAAAGCCCAUUAUCCCAUUUCAUUCCAACAACCAAAGGAACCACACCUCGUUGUUUUCUGUGGUCUCUAGGUCGUUUUUAUGUGUGUUGCCUGUGGACCAACCCUAGUGGAUGUUGUUUGUCAAAGUCUAUAUCCGAGCCCGCAUCUCUAGUUAUAUUGUUGGAACAUUCAGUUAUUUUAUGAAUUUUUUCACUUGUGCUUUUUUUUGGAAGUAUGCCAAUUGCAUCAAUACUAUCAGUGUGAUUGCUUCA